rnacentral:tRNA from 1 species
GCGCGAGUGGCGGAAUUGGUAGACGCCCCAGAUUUAGGUUCUGGUGCCUUCGGGCGUGAGGGUUCGAAUCCCUUCUUGCGCA